UGUGAGGCAUCUGUGGUGAGGCGUCA
rnacentral:piRNA from 1 species